UACGGAAGGGGCGAGCGUUGUUCGGAAUCAUUGGGCGUAAAGGGCGCGUAGGUGGUUCUGUAUGUCUACCGUGAAAGCGUACGGCUCAACCGUAUUUUGUCGGUAGAAACUGCAGGACUUGAGGCUGGGAGGGGCUGGUGGAAUUCCCUGUGUAGCGGUGAAAUGCGUAGAGAUGGGGAGAACACUCGUGGCGAAGGCGGCCAGCUAGACCAGUUCUGACACUGAGGCGCGACAGCGUGGGGAGCAAACAGG
rnacentral:rRNA from 1 species